CCUACGGGGGGCAGCAGUGAGGAAUAUUGGUCAAUGGACGAGAGUCUGAACCAGCCAAGUAGCGUGAAGGAUGACUGCCCUAUGGGUUGUAAACUUCUUUUAUAAAGGAAUAAAACGAGGCACGUGUGCCUUUUUGCAUGUACUUUAUCAAUAAGGAUCGGCUAACUCCGUGCCAGCAGCCGCGGUAAUACGGAGGGUCCGAGCGUUAUCCGGAUUUAUUGGGUUGAAAGGGAGCGUAGAUGGGUUGUUAAGUCGGUUGUGAAAGGUUGGGGCUCAACCGUAAAAUUGCAAUUGAUACUGGCAGUCUUGAGUACAGUUGAGGUAGGCGGAAUUCGUGGUGUAGCGGUGAAAUGCUUAGAUAUCACGAAGAACCCCGAUUGCGAAGGCAGCUUACUAGACUGUGACUGACAUUGAUGCUCGAAAGUGUUGGUAUCAAACAGGAUUAGAUACCCGGGUAGUC
rnacentral:rRNA from 1 species